ensembl:miRNA
GGUUCCAGGCUGAGGUAGUAGUUUGUACAGUUUGAGGGUCUAUGAUACCACCCGGUACAGGAGAUAACUGUACAGGCCACUGCCUUGCCUGGGGCAG